CUAAAACGCUUAAUCGGGGCCUAA
rnacentral:siRNA from 1 species